CGUCCACUAUAGAAGGGGCUGCUUGUCCCCUCCUCCUUCUCUUAUUCUUGCUUCUCUCUUGUGCCCUCUUGCUCCCAUCUCUCUCCACAUUCCCUUCUUCCCUCUCUUCUGUGGCCAAGACCAGCCUCUACUUCUCUACUCUCUCCGUCUCCAUGCUUUUCCCUGUCUCUACUACCCUCUUAGCUCCCGCUUCACAGACACUCCUCCCUGCAAAAGGUAUUUAACCUCAGGCCCGUCCUGAGAAAGUGGGGUGUGGUUUCACUCAUCACCACUCUCCGCCAUGACGGUAAACUCCUUAAGACCACGGACUGUCUCUUCUCAUCGGGAUCGGUAGUACUGGAGCAAUGGAGCAUGGACUUGGGUCAUAGGAUGGUGAGGCCUCGCUCCUGAAGCUGACGAAAAGUUUGUUUGUGAGUUUUGAAUCUAAAAAUGGCAGCAACAAUCAAGUUACCACCCAAAACAAAGAACUUGGAAGUAUGGGGGAUGCAAAGAUGGAGACACUGAGUUUGGAGAAAAUAAGAUGGGAUCUAAUCUCUUAUAUCUGGAAUAUUUUCAUGAUCAGAGUAGACUUUAGGUGGGAUAUAUUAGGAAGUCACUAGAAAGCCACUCCAUAGGAAGUUACGGUAGAUUCUUCUUAUGGAUACGAUACUCAGGAUGCUGUCAUCUCCUCGGGUGGACAACUAGAAGGUGGACUAGAAGUCGUUGAUGCUUUGUCAUCAAGAUGGCUCAUGAACUUGCAUAUAUAGACAAGGAACUUGAAAACAAGGUGCUUCAAAAAACUUUGAUUCCAGCUCCAACUAAUAAUUAUAUUCCCAAACCCUUCAUUGCUUGAAUUAGUUUUGUUUUGUUUUGUUUUGGCUCUGGAGACCUCGGGAUCCUUUAUCGGUCUCCCAAACACUGCCUUCCUAGAUCUCUGUUAGUUAUUUUUCCGUUGCUGUGGUAAAGCACCAUGACUAAGGCAACUUACAGAAGAGUUUAUUAUGAGUUCACAGUUCGGUUCCAGAGGGUGAGUCCGUGAUCGUCACGGCAGCAGGCAGCAACAUCUGAAACUGGAGCAAAAAACGAGAGCUUAAAUAUUGACCCAUAAGCAGGAAGCAAAAAAAGCCCAAUUGGGAAUGACUUGAACUUUUGAAACCUCAAAGCACACCCCAGCGACACAUCUCCUCCAACAAGAUCACACCUCCUGAUUAUUCCCAAAUGACAUACCACGAAGCAUUGCAAUAUAGAAGCCUACGGGGCCCAUUC
rnacentral:lncRNA from 1 species